ACAACUUUAAAUUAUUUUAUUACAAAUACAUACUUCUUUAUUCACAGCUUUGUAACUUAUUUUUCCUUUAUAAUCAUUCAUCAUUGAAUCAAAGAUAAUCUUUUAUCUUGUAACAUUUUUUUUUUUAGCAGAGGCCCAGUAGACGAAACAGAACACUUAAGAAAUAUGGGACUGAUAUAACAUCUGAUGGCACCGUCCCUUCUGCGGGAAUAGGUGCAUUACUCUCUACUUCAUCUGUACUAGCUCGUUCAGGAUCCAUAACUAUAAAAGAAAACAUUUUAAAAUCGUCAGGAGUCGUCACACUAUCAAAAUAUAUAAGUAUGGCAUGUAUAGGUAGACUCUUAUUCUUACUGAGUAUUUCCGAGAACCGACUAAACCUGCUCUGAUACCAAUAAAAUGUAACACCCCUUACCCGAGACCGUUUCCGGAAUCGAGCACGAGGCAUUACUUAGCUUAUCUUACCAAUUCGGAGCAUAAAAACUAGGUUUGAAAAUUUAUUUCAUUAUUCGCAGCAAAUCUGUCUAAUCGCGCAGCAGUUACUAAAUUAAUUAUAACUUGAGCUACAGAACUCGAAAUUUAAUCUCGUAAAUUUUCCAUGAAACUAGACUCAUAUAUCUACUCACCAUAAAAUUUUUAGAAUUUUUGGUUCAGCAAAUUAGUACAGUUUAUUAGUUAAAGUCUCCCCUGUGUCACCACCAGACUGCCCUGACCUCUAGUCACUAAAAAUAAGUUUUCUCACUAUAGGAUUUUCAUAUGAAGUUCUUACUUGUUUCUAUAGAAAAUAGACUCAUUAAUAAAUCUAAGCAUGUAAAUUUCAACUCAUAAACAUUUUUGUACAAUUUUUUAUUAUUUUCUAAACUCAGAACAGGGGACUCCAAAAACAGUUCUGACCCUAUCUUACUAAAAAUUCACAUAUCUUAAAAUAUAAAUUUCUUUUUUUCUACACCGUUAUUUUUCCAUGAAAAUAGACUCAACAAGCUUUAAUUCCAUAUAUCAUUCACCCUCUAAUUCAUUUUAUACUAUCUUGGGUGAUUUUUCAAAUUCACGUCACUGUGCUGCCUGAAUUCUGUUUCUUUGCAAAAUUUUAUCCUUUCAUGAUUUCCAUGCAUAAUUUAUCACCUAAUAUUUCAUAACAACAAACACCUUCAUCCUUAAUCAUUUUAAUAACCAUACAUCAUCAAAUACUUACACAUCACUCAUUAGCAAAAUCAUCACUACAAACAUACAAAAUAACUAAAUUCCUAUACAUGCCAUAACUUAAACGUGUUUCGAUAUAAAAUACCGAGCAGUUGUAGUUGAUAGUGUGGACGAUCUCCGACUUCUUUAGGAUCCUUGAAGUAGCUUUGCAAUACUAUAAGAGAAAGAAAUAAAAGAAGUAAGCAUAAAGCUUAGUAAGUUUACUAGCAAAUAAAUAACAAUAUUUAACUUAAAUAAUUAAACUCAAUGUCUAUAUCUCUAGUUUACUCUUUAGUUAAUCUCAUACUAGUUCUCUUACUUGUUUACUUAGAAUAUUUGUGUGCAUAACUUACUCAAUCCUUGCUGCAUCGUUGAACAUCAAUUGAUAGUAUAAUAAGUUCUUAAGUCUUACAACUUACCUGAGCUUGCCAUUUAUGCUUUAAAAACAUGAUUCGUUUACAAGCCCGUUGAACUACAUUGGAAUAAUAAGGAUACUCGGGUCUCUUCUGAUAAUAACAUGCCAAAGCCAUGUCCCAGACAUGGUCUUACAUGGGAUGUUCUCGUGAUGGUGCCCAUGCCAUGUCCCAAACAUGGUCUUAUAGGGGACCUCUCAUCUCGGUGCCAACGCCAUGUCCCAGACAUGGUCUUACAUGGGACCUCUCGUCUCGGUGCCCAUGCCAUGUCCCAGACAUGGUCUUACAGGGGACCUCUCAUGAUCUUAAGGAUGCCAAUGCCAUGUCCCAGACAUGGUCUUACAUGGGAUCUCUUUACCCAAAUGUCAUGACAUUCGUAUCCAGUACCAUCCUUAUGUAUCAACGGGACUUUUAAAUUUUAAUUCUCUAUCAUUUCAUGCUUGGAUCAUCAUCAAAUAAAUUCAUAAAAUAAAUUCAUAAUUGCUGGAAAUUAACAGCAUUAAUAAUAAAUAUUGAAAUAUUGCAUUUAUUUACCGUAAACUUACCUCGGUACCAAUUAUAGCCAAAUUCACCAACUUAGUCUUCAACUUUAUUCUUCCCUUUGUCUAACCUCGAGUUUCGUACUUCUUGAUCUAAAAUAGUAAAUUUAACUUAUUUAAUAAUCACAUUCAUCAAAAUAGCCCUCGACUCUAACUUUUUCAAAAUUACAAUUUUGCCCCUAAACUUUUACAUAAUUACAUUUUUGCCCCAAGGCUCGGAAAUUAAACUUCAUCUCUUAUUCUUAUGUUUUAUAACAUUCUGAACAUUUUUCCCUUCUAUGGCAACAUCAAAUUCUAAUUUAAUCCCUUAUCAAUACUAAUUUUAUUUUUGCAUUCUAACUCUAUAUUCUCUCUUAAUUCUUACUAUAAAGUCAAUUUAAUUCCUCAAUUUCACCAUAAAUCCCUAAUUUCGGGAUUCUUUCAAUUUAAUCCCUAUCGAUUCAAAACUUAUAUUUUAUUUUACAAUUACGUUCUUUACUAACUUCUAACUUGAAAUUAAAUCAAUUUAACCCCUAACUAAACCUAUAUAUUUUUCUUUCUCAAUUCAUACCCUUAUUCUACCCAAUUUCUUGCUAAACUCAUAUUUAACUAUUUAAUUUUUAUCAUGUUUUCAUAAUUCCGAAUUUAUUUCAAAUUAAUCCCUAAAAUUCAAAACUUAUAGUUUAGUUUACAAUUCAAUCCUUUAUUCAAUUCCAAUCAAAAUUUCUAUCAAAUACAUCCCUAAUUUAACAAUUUAUUCAACAUGAACCAUGCUUAAUAAUCUACUAACUUCCAAAAUUUCAACUUAAUCAAGUAGUAUUUUGUUCUAGGAUUUCAAAAAAAAUAUCAAAAUUAAGAGAAAAUGGGAUUAAAUUGACUUACCAAAUUACUUUGAACCUUAAAACCCCAAAUUUCCCUUUUUCUUUUCUUUUCUUUCUUUCUUUCUUUCCUUCCUUCCUUCUCUGUUUCGUUUUGCUCUCUGUUUCUUUCUUUCUCCCUUCUCUGUUUUGUUUUGCUCUCUGUUUCUUUUCUUUCUUUCUUUGUCAUAUAUAUAAUAAUAUAAUAAUAUAAUAUAAUAUAAUAUAUUAAUAAUAAUAUAAUAUAAAAACAUAAUUAUUACUUACGCAUGUAUAAUAUAA
rnacentral:lncRNA from 1 species